rnacentral:rRNA from 1 species
AUUGAACGCUGGCGGCAGGCCUAACACAUGCAAGUCGAGCGGAUGAAGGGAGCUUGCUCCUGGAUUCAGCGGCGGACGGGUGAGUAAUGCCUAGGAAUCUGCCUGGUAGUGGGGGAUAACGUCCGGAAACGGGCGCUAAUACCGCAUACGUCCUGAGGGAGAAAGUGGGGGAUCUUCGGACCUCACGCUAUCAGAUGAGCCUAGGUCGGAUUAGCUAGUUGGUGGGGUAAAGGCCUACCAAGGCGACGAUCCGUAACUGGUCUGAGAGGAGGAUCAGUCACACUGGAACUGAGACACGGUCCAGACUCCUACGGGAGGCAGCAGUGGGGAAUAUUGGACAAUGGGCGAAAGCCUGAUCCAGCCAUGCCGCGUGUGUGAAGAAGGUCUUCGGAUUGUAAAGCACGUUAAGUUGGGAGGAAGGGCAGUAAGUUAAUACCUUGCUGUUUUGACGUUACCAACAGAAUAAGCACCGGCUAACUUCGUG